rnacentral:tRNA from 3 species
UUUAUUUUAACUCAGUGGUAGAGUAAUCCCCUGGUAAGGCGUAAACCCUCGGUUCAAAUCCGAUAAGAUAAG